UCCGGAAUAGCUCAGUUGGGAGAGCGUUAGACUGAACGCAACAAUCAUCUAAAGGCCCCCGGUUCAAUCCCGGGCUCCGGCA
rnacentral:tRNA from 1 species